GGAAUUUUGGACAAUGGGCGCAAGCCUGAUCCAGCAAUGCCGCGUGAGUGAAGAAGGCCUUCGGGUUGUAAAGCUCUUUUGUCAGGGAAGAAACGGUGUUUUCUAAUACAGAGCGCUAAUGACGGUACCUGAAGAAUAAGCACCGGCUAACUACGUGCCAGCAGCCGCGGUAAUACGUAGGGUGCAAGCGUUAAUCGGAAUUACUGGGCGUAAAGCGUGCGCAGGCGGUUUUGUAAGACUGUCGUGAAAUCCCCGGGCUCAACCUGGGAAUGGCGAUGGUGACUGCAAGGCUAGAGUUUGGCAGAGGGGGGUAGAAUUCCACGUGUAGCAGUGAAAUGCGUAGAUAUGUGGAGGAACACCGAUGGCGAAGGCAGCCCCCUGGGUCAAAACUGACGCUCAUGCACGAAAGCGUGGGGAGCAAACAGGAUUAGAUACCCCAG
rnacentral:rRNA from 1 species